rnacentral:rRNA from 1 species
UACGUAGGGGGCAAGCGUUGUCCGGAUUUAUUGGGCGUAAAGAGCUCGUAGGUGGUUCGGUAAGUCGGGUGUGAAAACUCUGGGCUCAACUCAGAGACGCCACCCGAUACUGCUGUGACUUGAGUCUGGUAGGGGAGUGUGGAAUUCCCAGUGUAGCGGUGAAAUGCGCAGAUAUUGGGAGGAACACCAGUGGCGAAGGCGGCACUCUGGGCCAGUACUGACACUGAGGAGCGAAAGCGUGGGUAGCGAACAGG